CCUACGGGUGGCAGCAGUGGGGAAUAUUGGGCAAUGGAGGAAACUCUGACCCAGCAACGCCGCGUGAAUGAUGAAGGUCUUCGGAUUGUAAAGUUCUUUUCUUAGGGAAGAAGAAAGUGACGGUACCUGAGGAAUAAGCCUCGGCUAACUACGUGCCAGCAGCCGCGGUAAUCCGUAGGAGGCGAGCGUUAACCGGAAGGACUGGGCGCAAAGGUUGCGAAGGUGGUUUGACAAGUUGGUAGCGUAACUCCGGGGCUCAACCUCGGAACUACUACCAAGACUGUCGGACUUGAGUGCAGGAGGGGGGAAUGGAAUUCCUAGUGUAGCGGUGGAAUGCGUAGAUAUGAGGAGGAAUACCAGAGGCGAAGGCGAUUUGUUGGACUGGAACUGACACUGAGGCACGAAAGCGUGGGGAGCAAACAGGAUUAGAUACCCGGGUAGUC
rnacentral:rRNA from 1 species